CUUUCUUCAAUUGUAUGUUAUUUGGUCCAGUAUUUUACAUACAUAUUUUAUUCACAUAUUUUUAAAACUUUCAAAGUCUCGUGAUUUCUGAACAGUUAUUCCUCACUUAGAAUUACUAGCAGUUACAAAUGUCUAGUUAUUCCUCCUUGUACCUCACUCCAUCCCUGUGAUCUCAAUUCAAGGAAUUUCAUCUUUAAUUCGUGUUUACUGGAAGCACAUACAAUGGAAAUAUUAUUUUGGUUGAAGUAUAUAGAGAAAAUGGCAUAUCAAAACUUGUCAAGUGUGGUAGUAUCUUAAAUUUAAGUUCCAGGGGAUAUCCUACUAUAUCAAUGAUCUUUUUUCCAUUGGCUGCUUUAAAAUGUACUUGUCUAUUGAGCGUUUGAAUUAACCUUCACCUAGGAAUGAUUUCACAGCAUCCAUACAUUGGUACUUGAAGAAUAAUAGUUUGCAGAUAACAAGAAAUCUUCCAGUGUUAGCAAUAUGUGUGUUUCAUUUCUGUGACUAUGACCAAUACCCAAGAUAAACCACUGCAUACAUGGAAAAGGUUUGUUUUGACUUAUGGUUUCAGAGAUCUCAGUCCACAGUCACUUGGCC
rnacentral:lncRNA from 1 species